GGGGUGAGUAACGCGUGAGAAUCUGCCUUCAGGAUGGGGACAACAGUUGGAAACGACUGCUAAUACCCGAUGUGCCGAGAGGUGAAACAUUUAUGGCCUGGAGAUGAGCUCGCGUCUGAUUAGCUAGUUGGUGGGGUAAGAGCUUACCAAGGCGACGAUCAGUAGCUGGUCUGAGAGGAUGAUCAGCCACACUGGAACUGAGACACGGUCCAGACUCCUACGGGAGGCAGCAGUGGGGAAUUUUCCGCAAUGGGCGCAAGCCUGACGGAGCAAGACCGCGUGGGGGAUGAAGGUUUGUGGAUUGUAAACCCCUUUUGAUUGGGAAGAAGAACUGACGGUACCAAUCGAAUAAGCCUCGGCUAACUCCGUGCCAGCAGCCGCGGUAAUACGGAGGAGGCAAGCGUUAUCCGGAAUUAUUGGGCGUAAAGCGUCCGUAAGUGGUUUUAUGAUUUUUUUUCGCAAACGGGGGGGGUUAACUCCGUAAAGGCAGUGGAAACUACUAGACUUGAGUGCGGUAGGGGUAGAGGGAAUUCCCAGUGUAGCGGUGAAAUGCGUAGAUAUUGGGAAGAACACCGGUGGCGAAAGCGCUCUACUGGGCCGUAA
rnacentral:rRNA from 1 species